AUCGCUUCUCGGCCUUUUUGGCUAAGAUCAAGUGUAGUAAUUUGUCAUUACUAUGUUGGGUUAAUACUUUUAGUGAUUGUUUUAAUACCUGCUUUUAUUCCUUUAGAAAGCGUGACUCAUACUAUACAGCUCCCUUCAGACUCCCUUUUUAUGACAUAGUUAUAAGGGGAGACCUGAAGGUCCUUGA